CAAAGUUAGAACAGUUUAUAACUACCGCACACAGAUCAUACUUUCGCCCCAAAACUCCUUAUCAUAUGCCAAAAGUGUGUGACCUCCUCAUCAUACUUUGUCAUGGUAACUUAUUAAAAAGCAGGGCAGGAUGACAGCAAACUGGGCAUAUUUCACUCUAAAUAUCCGUCAGCGACCAGCUUCAACAGGAGAAGACUGGUGGAAGAAAGCAAAUCUACUAUGUAUUUAUAGCAGCACCCAAACCAAUAAAGCUUGCAUGCACACAAAUAAGGUUUGAAACCUCUGAGCCUUUACUGUAAACCACUGCAAACCCGAGUGCGGGAUAUAUUAUAGCUCGACCCUGGACUUGUUUACUGGAAUGCGUGUAAAUGCCUCGAAAGCGUGGAGGCGUGCAGGGAAAGACGGGAAGACAAAGCCCAGCUAAGGACGUUCCUAGGGCUUCCACUUCAAGGUUACUCUCAGAUCCCCACUUCUUCCCCCGCC